UAUAGACAAAACAAGAAUAAUAAUGAAUUCAGAUAUCAAUUAAAAUUGUAUAUAGAUCAGAGCUAUAAUUACGAAAAGGUGAGAAAUGUUGAAAUUUGUGAUGUUUCUGCUUCUUGCUGGUCUACUGAUUGUUCCGCACGCCGUGGAAGGAAAAACUUGCUAUCAGAGGGUAUGUUUGUGUAAAUAUAGCUACUGUUGUAAGACAUAUUCCUACCCGUGUUGGGGAAGAAGACGCUCACUGGACGACGAGGUUCGACUUGCUGACUUAGAAGACAACUAGUUGAUAAAAACAUCUAUGCAGUCAAAUACCAGUCAGUAUAACAAUAAAACGUUUAUCAAUUA